GGGGGUGUUCCGGAUUCGACCUUUAGUUGGAUCGUCUGGCUGCAUGUCGAGGAUGAUGGUUGGCCUCGUAAAUCUCUCCAUCAAAAACACAAAUGGCACACACGAAGAAAUGCCUCUAGCUGCUUAAUAUAGCGCUACGUUCCCCCGCCGAUACUCGCUAGGCGGUGCGGAGCGACGACCAGCGAGCAUAGCCGAGAACGGGCGCCUCUUGCGCCUCGGCCGUACUUCAUCGAGAGGCUGGCCUCAAAAGUAGCGCGGUUUCGUCGCGACCCAGAGGCGAGACUAAAAACGAAGACAAACAUGUAGACGCCUUACGCGAAAGCUAGAGGGACGCGGGUUCGACUCCCGCCACCUCCACCA
rnacentral:tmRNA from 1 species